AUUGUUUUAACCUAAUUACAUAUUUAAUGUACUCUUGUAAGUGGGAUAAAAUUUGAAUACUAAUAUUUUUAUGCAGACUUUAAAGUCCAGAAUGGUUAGCAAGUAAAAAAUAGGCCAAUAGUGGAGUAGAAAUUCGUAUUUUGAAGGGAAGGAAAUAAGUGCAAGAGACUGUACUUUACAAAUCAAAUAUCACUCAGAUAUUUAUGUAGGAAGAAUAUAACUAAUUUUCCGUAUUCUGAAAGGUGUUUGCUUAUGACUGCCUUCCAAAAGACUCUCUUGUCUAUAAAUACGUUCUAUUUAUGGGCCUUAAUUUUAUCUUUCAGUUAAUUAUAUCAUCUGGAAAGGGGUGAAAGAGGGGCAGGCUGUGGCAACAAAUCUAUGCCUAGUUGUUUAAUCUCAUGAAUGAGUGAGUUAAUUGCUUGUUUAACACUCCUUCUAUACUGUGCUAGCUUUGGGGAUUAUAACAGGUGAAUAGGAUGGUCUCUGCUCUCAAGGAACUCAGUGUAAUUGGAACAGACAAACCAUUAGGGCAUUAUUAUGAUAGGACUAAGUGUUACAGUAGAGAACCACAGCAUUUUAUGGGUGCUCAUAGUAGAGUCAGGAAACCUCUCAGAAGAGGCCAUGUUUCAUUUGAGUUUCAGUGCAUUCAGGAGUAUUUGGGUGAGUGUGGAAUGAAAGCAGGUAGUGCGAGCAGCUGAAACAACUUAGACAAAAGAGCAUUCACAAGGGAAGGUAAAUCUGAUAUGAUAUUUGCAGGAGGAGCCAUCCAGGUGAAGAGUUGAAGGGAAGACAAAGAAAGUGUUUCAGUAAGUGUAGAAUGUUUGAAUGCAAAAAGUGAGAGAGAAUUUGGGUCUCUGUAGAUCAACAAUUUAUAAUAUUAGAAUAUAAGGGUAGAGAUUCAGACAUCUUGAUGGGAGACUAGUCUAUAGAGGUAAGUAGGUGUUCAAUGACGGGUGCUGUAUUAGAGGAUAGAGCUGUACUAAGGUUUUCUUAGUUAAUGUGAAGGUCACAGGAAGUCACAGAAUACUUUUGAAAUGAGAAUGACACAACUGAAGCUUUGCUUUGGAAAAAUCAACUCUGGUUGUAGUGUGAAGAAUGGAUUGGAGUGCAACAAGACCUAGGCAGGAAGAUGUGACCUGAUCUAAGAGAUAAAGGGUGACAUCCAAGACUGAGAUUCGUUACAGUGAGGAUGCAGUAAAGGGAAGAUUAGAUAUUAUAAAGAGAGACAUUUGAUAGGGUUACAGACUAUAUGUGGGAAGUGUGGGAGAAAGAAAUGUUAAAGAUGAGUCCAAACUGUCUGGUCUGGGUGGCCGGGUGAAAGGAAAUCUUUGCACUGAGUUAAGAAAUCCAGAAAAAAGGGACAGGAAUAAAUAGGAAGACAAUGAUUCCUGCCCUGCAUUUAGUAAGAGGCACCUGUCAGAUAUCCACUUGGAGAUGUAUAGGAUAAAGUAAAAUAAAUAAUUGAUGAAUACAUUUUAGCUGCUCCUGCCACACACAUGCACAAAAGGGUAACUAUGUGAGAUGAUGAAUGUGUUAAUUUGCUUCACCAUAGUAACUAAUUUAGUAGUUAUGGAUAGCCCAUUAUAUCAUACUGUAUACAUUAAAUAUACACAAUAAAAUUUAUUUAAAAGAAAAUAGUGGUAUGCUACCCAAAUUAGGUACCAUAAUGUUUUUCACUGGCAUUAAAGUUAAGAUGAUAUGUAUUUCUUAAUGAAAAAUAGUGGAAAGCAAUGUUACAAUAAAAAUGCAGUUAAUUUAAUUAUGAAAUAGAGAUCUGAGACUCAUUAACUUUUAGGUGGUAGGUGAAUUCAUGGGAACUCAUGUCAUCAUCUAAAGACAAAAUGCAGAAGGCCAUACAUGGAGCCCAGGCAAUACCAUCAUUUAGAAGAAAAGCAAGGAGCAGCAUUAAAAGAGUCUGAGGAUGAAAUUCUCCCCACUCUACCUCUGGAUCAGAACAUCUUUAUCAUAGUUAUCCUUCAUCUGCUGCAGGUUGCCCUGAAGCUGAGAUAUGUGUAGUCCUAGACUAGAAGAUGAGAUUCAGCUGAGACCAAGGGCUCAGUUGCAGAAAUAAGUGAUCAUGAGGCUGUGAAAUCCUAAUAACAAACUGAAAUCCUUGAAAGACUACUGGACUACUAGAAAUAGAAACCAGUCUUACAUAGUGAAAUCUCAAAGAAAAGGCCAAACCAAGGUGACAGCAAAGUUACACCAUAGACUUAGAUUUGUUUACUUUAUCAACUAUAAAAAUGUUAAGGAUAUUGUAAUAGUUCAGCUUAUGUAUAUAAUUUGGAAGUUAUGAUGUUUAAACCUUCAUACAUUGGAGAAGAGGCAUCAGCAAAAUGAGGUGGUAUCCAAUAUAUCCAACCUUUGAUGAUUCACUAAAAAAUAAUUCACUUUUUUCUGGCUAGAAUUGAAGAUCUGGUGAGUACCAGAGACCAUCUCUUUCCUCUAUGCUUGACUUUCAUCAAAGGAGGUAAAAAAGCCUCAUGGACACAACUUGAGAUGGUGGACACUGAACCUUGCCAUUUCCAAAAGAAGUUAAAGAAACUGCACCCAGUGAACAAGAACUAGCCUUUCAUCAUUCCGUAGGUAUUUACUGAUGGCUCCCUUAAGGCCCAACUGAAACGUAGACGGAGAUGAUGUUACUAGCCGAGCGUUAUUGAAGAUUUAGUCCAUGCCAGUCUCUGUACUAAGGACUUAACCUCCCUUUCCUUAUUUGCUCCUCAUUGCCCCAUGGAAUAGAUAUAUUAGUGUUGUUUAGAUAUGAAGAAACAAAGGCAGAAAGAGUGAAAACUGAUGAUCUGUACUCCACUCCAAGUAUAUUUUAUUAGAUCCUUACAUCUUCCAACACCCUCGGGAAGUAGAAGACCAUUGCUAUGGCACACAGUUUGUCUUCUCCUUACUUUUAAAAGCUCUUUGGUGGACAUAAAAGAGGUGUGGGAGAUGUUAUUUCCUCUAGUUUCGCCCCACUUUUAAUCUGGAAAUGGAGGCAGACACUGGAGAAGCCCAGGCUCUGUGGGUUCAUAGAAAUGGAUGCUAUUCAGAUGUAAGCUAUAUGGUUUCUCAGGAAAUAAAAUGAAGUUCUAAUAAAAUGUACUGAAAAGUGAUUAUAUGGCACUAAUAAUGUGGGACUGUCUGAAAGGAGAAACCUGCUUCUGAAAGAACGGCUUCUCCCUUUCCCUCCCUUUGAAGUGAUUUCAGCUGUCCAGAGCUGCCUGAAGGAAAUCCAUCAUAGAAAAGAAAGAAUAGUCCUUUAGUCCUAUUCUAACCCUCCCCCUUCGUUUUAUGUUCCCCUAAUACUUGCCCCUCCUGCAACCUCAUCAUUGCUUUAUGGCUGACUGGUGAAGGGAAAAGCUAUUCCUAGCACAGCAGAUGUAGGAAGCCCCAGCCAGAUGAGCCCUGGAACUGGCAGUAAGUUUGGUUUGGUAAUAAGGAAACAGCUCAAGAGAAGCAUGGGAAAGGGGCAUUGAAUCGUUCACUGAGAAACAUUAUCCAACAGUUGUGAGAUAAAUCUUGAAAGAGAGAAAGAGGGAAAAAGGUGAAUAUGAGAUGAAGGAAAGGGAAGAAAGAGAGGGAGAGGAAGAGGGGAGACAAAGUAAUUUUGCUUCAAAGGGCCUGCAAAUUCUGGAGGUAUAUAAAUCCUAUUUGGUUCUGUAAUAUGAAUAUGAAAAUGUUACACAUCAGCCCCUUAAAUUUAUGCUAAAGUGACUGUAUUCUUUUUAUUUUUAUAGCUAUUAAGUCUUGCACAUUAAGAGGGUAUGCUUUCCUGAUUAUACCGUGACUAGGCAUAAGAAUGGGAAUUAUUUUCUCUGGAGUUUUUUAUGAGACAGCACCCUAUUCUUAAAGAAAUUUGCAUACAUUUGAAGCACUGGUAUACUGGUGUGGUGUCCUGUCUUUCUGUUUAUGGCACCAAACACUGCCAACUCUGUCCAAGACUAAGAAUGGGAGAAAGGAUUGGAAAUAAAAGGAAAUAAAUGGAAGUUUUAAAAAUGCUUGAAGAAACAAAUAUAAAAGAGAAAAAGAAACCAGAAUCAUAAAAGAUAAAGAUUUACAAGAAGGCAUUAGAAACCCAGAGUAGUACAGCUAUAAAGGCCCAUGCUUGUUACUUAGUACUAUAGCUGUCAAAAAUGCUUCCAGUAGGGGGAAGUUCAGUAUAUCACCAGACAGCUCAUUUUAUUUCUGAAGCGUUUACUAAUAGAAGGUUCUCAUUUGGAUUAAUUCAGGUUCUUCUUGUCUGGAAUCUUAAUAAAUCUGGAAUCUCUUCUAUGUUAAUGUUCUUCAAAUAUGUGAAGACAGUUACCACGUUUCCGAGUCGUCUCAGUUAUUUCAGCCAAUCCUCAUGCUCUCUGGUUGCCAGAUCUCCUUGGCACACACUUCAGUGUGUCAGUGUCCCUCUUACAAUCUGGCACUUUGAAUUGAACAUAAUCCUUCAGAUGUGGUCUGGACAGUGUAAAGUUCAAUGGGACUACUCCCUUUCUUGAUUUGAAGUCAACACUUUAUUAAGACUCACACGAGCUUAUUUGGCAGCACGUCAUACUGUUGGCACACGGUGAACUUGUAGGCAGCUAAAACCCCAAGUUAUUUUUUUUUCCAUAUUCACUAUUCUUAAGCCAGUUGUCCUCUGUCUUGUAGAAGAGGAGUUUACUUUAUGAAUCUACAGAGAGAAUGUUUUGUUUCUUGAUGCUUUCUCUCAUUGUUCCUGCUCUUUAAAGAUCUAGAAGAUAUUUAAUUUUGUCCUUCAAUAUGUUAGCUAUCCCUCCUGUUAAUUUUGGUGAAUAAUGUGUCGUCAUCUGAAUCAUGUGUUCAAGAGUUUGAGGAGACAGAAAUAACUUAGAACAAAGCCUUAUCAAUUGUUAUUGAAUAACUGACCUUAGGUUAACUUUGAUUUGUUACUCAAUUCACUUUGAAUGGCACGUUCAACAUUUUACUUACCAUUCAGUUUAUUUUUUUCUGAUUAAAAGGAUUGUCUUUUCUACAAGCCUUGUUGAAACUGAGAUAUAGUAUAUGUAUAACCUCCCCAGAUUUUGCAUGCUGGAAGAAAAUCACUUUUCUUUUUCAUUUUUUAAGAGAUAGGGUCUCACUAUAUUGCCCAAGCUGGAGUGCAGUGACCAUUCACAGGUGCAUUCAGAGUGUAUGGCAGCCUUAACUCCUGGCCUCAAGCAAUCCUCUCGUCUCAGCCUCUCGAGUAGCUGGGACAUAGGCAUGCACCACUGCAAGAAAUUUAAGUGAUAUAUUUUGGGCAUGAAUUAUUUUCAAACAAUUUAAGGCCACUUCUAAUAAUCACCAAUUCCUGUAGUAACUUACUGAAUAAAAAUCAACUUCCCAGCCAACUUGAUUUUUUAAAAUCAGGGAACCAUAAUCAACCUAUUAAUUAGUUUUAUUUCUAAAAUCCAGACUUCUCUUUUUUGACAUUGAGAUACUACAUGUUUUCAGUAUUCUGGUGUCUUCAAUGCAUGCUUUAAAAUAUUUCCAUACACAUAUCAAUAUUUAAAAUAUGGCAUAUAAUGUAAUGCACUCUGGGUUCUCAAUUUAGCUAACUGUUCUUACAGUCUGUUAACCCAUGAAACCAAGCACUUCCAUACACCCUCCCUGGGUGAGGUAAUGCUGAAAGCAGUCACUAGAGGGAAAUAGAGGGCUGAAAACUAGGUACAGGAAUGGUCGACCCCUGGUUAGGAGGACCAAGAGAAGGAUAGGCUGGAGAAGGCUAGACCUCUGUAGAAAAGGUUACUCUCAGGUUUACCCCGAAAUUCCGCUUUAGAUAUGGUUCACCUAAGGACAGAGAUAGAACUGGAAUGCAAUCAAGACAGAUCAGCCAGUCAGCACUCAGUUGGAAGACACAUCAAUGACAACGUUUUUUGGAAGUUUGAUAUCAAUGCCAGAAAAUGACCUUGAAGCAGGAGUCUUGGUGUCAUGGUUGAAAUCUGUAGUCAAAGCUAAGAUCAAAAUUGCGUCAGUUCAGCAACAAUCGUUACAAUUUAUUGACUGUCUACUGUAUGUCUAGCAAUGAACCAAUAUUAUGUCCCAUUCUUGGAAUAAGCUUUGGAAAGUAAUAUUUUCCCCAUUUCACAAAAAGAAAACUGAAGAACAGGAUUUAAGAAAUUUAAGUGGCAGAACUGGGAUCUCAACAGAGAUUAGUUGAGCUGCAAGGCAUGUACUCACUAUGCUGAAAGGCUGGACAAUACCGUAUUCUGAUUCAAUAAUUAGAACUCUGGGAAGAGAGCUCUAUAAAAGCUUGAAACAAUUUUCUCCUCAACUCGAAGGCCUUCUCUCUUAGAAUUUGUGGAGAGUGGACACAUCUUCUCACUUAUCAUAGGCUUCUAUUUUCUGUAAUUUAAUUUCAUCAGUCCUUCACAGAUUUGAAGUUCAUUCUGCUUUUUUAGGAUCAUGCAAACAAAAUAUAUCCUAUUAAUACAUUUUAUUUUCUUUCAAGUCAAGGCAAAUGAAAACUUCAUAAACAUAAUGUAUGGCUUUUUAGAAGUUAUAUGUAAUGAAUACAAACUUAGUACAGUGAAAAUUCUCAGUGACAAUUUGAAUUUCCAAUAGGAUCUGCACCUCUUGGUCCAAAUAUUGGCCACAUAAACAUGGCACCAGGUCUAUCUGGUAAAAAUGCAUAUUAAGUAGUUAAGGGAGCAAAUGUUUAUAGGGGGUAAAAUAAUUUUCAGUUUUAGUAUCUGUAAAGCCAAAUAUUAGGUGAACAGGUAAAUGAAUUCGGGGAUAAAAUGAUCAGUAGCAGCAUAAUAAAAGGAUUUUAAAAGCACUGAACCUUAAAUAACUUAAUGGAAGUAAAGAGAAAGUUCAAAAAAUGAUUCACAAGAUAGCCCAGGCAAUAAGGUCCCUGAUUUCAAAGAUGUAUACAGAUGUUUGAAAAAAAUUGUCUCAAGAAAUCUGAGUUUCAAAAGGCAAUAUUUCUAAACAUACUGGAAGCAUUCUAAAACAAGCUAGAGUACUAUACUAAUAAGCAUGGUUCUUUAUAGUUUUCCUGUUCUGGGUUUCUAAUGCUUUUCUCAAGACAGAGGUAAUUAAAAUAAUAUAUUACCAUCAAAAUCCAUGUUAGGUCUUCCGAUGGGACUUCCUGUGGUUUCCUCAAGUCACCAACAUCUCACCACAUGUUUGAAUAUAGCCAUUACAUAUUUCAGUGUGUUUAAACCUAUUAACAAUGAUCUCCCUCCUGUUUGUCUUCUUCCUCCAGAACAUAUACAAAUAAAAUUUGUAUAAAAUUUCUUCCUUGAACUUAAUAGAUAAUGUUUUCUUAGCAGAUUUCUCUGGUCGAAAAAACGUAAUUUGCGAGGAAUGUGAAAUAGAAAACAACUUCAGGUUUAUAGACUAGAGACCCAUAAUUCAUAUUAUUUGUUCGAGUUUUCACCUUUUCUGAAAAUACAGAUUUUAAAUACUUGAAAAAAUAAAUGGGAUGUUUGUUUUAAAUUCUGCCUCAAUCCAAAUACUUGGAAAGCCCUGUAUUUAAAAAACUUGAAAUUUCAUUCUAAUUUUAUUUAAGGUUAAACAUAGAAGUGUCCUUUGAAAGUUCACAUCUAUCUCCCUUAACUUGGGCUGCACAAAUUUUCCCAAAGAUGUACAUAGUUAUUAUGGCAUGUUUUGGUGCACAAGUAACCAAUUGGUGAUAAUUUAUCUCAUAGCAACAGGAUAGAUGAGCCCAGCUCACACUGGGCACUAAUUGAACAAUGUCCUACUUGCUGAAAAUGGAAACUUAUAGAAGUUAGGCUGUUUCUAAAAUGUCUAUGGGCAUUCUAAACCUAUAGUCUGAGCCAGAGGUCUGGAAGCUCUUAGAGAUGAUAUUUAUUUUUUCUAAUAUAGUCAUAUCUUUCCCUUUGCUGUUUUCUUUGCACUUAUCUGUCUUGUCUUAUUUUGGUUCCUUCUGUCCCUGCCGUAAACAGAAGUAUGUUCUUUGUUCUCCCUCUCAAUUUCUUGACUUUUCUUUUCUUUUUUUCUUUUUUUUUUUUUUGAGCAUAUGUGAGCAUACAGCAUCUGUUUCCAAGCCUAUGCCAGAUGGAUGAAAAUAAUUAUUGGAGAAAUCUGAGAAAAGGAAGAUCAAGGCACUUUUAACAUCAGCAGAAGAUAAUGAAAGGGUAGAACAAAAACUGAAAACCAGAGACACUGUCAGGAGUAAAGUAAAGUCACUUCUCAGAGUUUCCAUAGAUCCAAUGGCACUGCCAUAAAUCUACAUUGAGGAAGUCCAUUAGCAGUUAUUGCAGAUACACUUACCUUCUCCUCACCCCAAAUUCUAAAUAAAAUAUAUUAAAAUGAAUGGACAGAUUGGUUAUUAUUUAAAUAUUAACCCUGUUUGCCAGCUUCUUUUAGGUCGUAAAUUUACAUGGACUCAUGGUAAUCCAAAUGACUGUAUAAUCAGGAUAUUUAGGAAAAAAAAAGAAUCAGUGGCAAUACUCAAGCCCAGGUUCCAUGCCAUCUGCAGGGGCUGUGCCAUAGUUUUUAUUAUAAAAGCAGCUACUAUUAGGAUGCCGUCGGACUGGUUUUUCCAAGCACCAAAUCCAUAUGGGUAGAACUCAAUAAAUACCAUGCAAAUAAUAAUUACUAACAUCUGUAGAGUGCUUUCCAGUCUACAUGUUGCUUUGUUUAACCUUCAUAACUGUUAUAAUCCUCAUUUAUAGCUCAGGAAACCAAGGCUUAGGGAGGUAAAGUGAUCUAGUUAAGAGCAUACAGCAUAAAACAGUGUUUUAAACCAUAAAUUUCAACUCUAAAAUGAAGUUUUUUGAUUCCAAAUCCAGAGCUUCUGCUACCUUGUGGUGCCUCUCUGAAAAUGUUUUAACAACCAUAAUGUUAUGAUUAUACCUUUUAAUGUAAUUUUUAGAAAAUGUUGCCCUUCAAUAUCUUCCAGCCACAGUAGCUAAUAUUUUAUGAGAUCAUAGUUCUGAGUUAUUUGUAAUAUGGAAACUGAACAUUGGAAAACAUUAUUGAAAUCUAUUUAAAAACUGUUAUUUGGUUCAUUUGUGAACCUCAA